GACGGAACCAGCCAUGCCGCGUUGCAGGGAAGACGGCCUUCUGGGUUGUAAACUGCUUUUAUCUGGGAAGAAAACACCCAUGCGUGGGAAACUGACGGUACCAGAUGAAUAAGCACCGGCUAACUCCGUGCCAGCAGCCGCGGUAAUACGGAGGGUGCAAGCGUUGUCCGGAUUUAUUGGGUUUAAAGGGUGCGUAGGCGGCCCGUUAAGUCCGUGGUGAAAGCCUCCAGCUCAACUGGAGAACUGCCAUGGAUACUGGCGGGCUUGAGUACAGACGAGGUUGGCGGAAUUGAAGAUGUAGCGGUGAAAUGCAUAGAUAUCUUCAAGAACACCGAUUGCGUAGGCAGCUAACUAGGCUGUAACUGACGCUGAGGCACGAAAGCGUGGGGAGCGAACAGGAUUAGAUACCCUGGUAGUCCACGCCGUAAACGAUGAUUACUCGAUGUUGGCGAUACACAGUCAGCGUCUUAGCGAAAGCGUUAAGUAAUCCACCUGGGGAGUACGCCCGCAAGGGUG
rnacentral:rRNA from 1 species